UGGUGGUGUGAAUUGUCUGGUUAAUUCCGUUAACGAACGAGACCUCGACCUGCUAAAUAGAGCGCAUUUGUCUUCGGGCAAGUGUUGCUCUUCUUAGAGGGACUAUCGGUGUUUAGCCGAAGGAAGUUCGAGGCAAUAACA
rnacentral:rRNA from 1 species